CCCCAAUAAAAUUUCCCGUUCCUCUCGGUGCGGCGGCGGCGGCGCCUCGUUCGUCGCCGGUGACACGCCGCCCGUCGGCACAGGGCACAGACGCAGAGUCGGGAAGCGGAGAAGCGGUCAUUCCUCGACUCUGUCACUGCAUAAGGCAAAGGUGGCAAUGGCUACAUCAGCAUACCCUCCUCCUCCUCCUCCUCCAUUUUACCGACUUUACAAGGACUACGAUCAGGAUCCUUCAUCCACACCAGAACCUCCAGCACCGCUGUAAAUUGAUGAAAAACAUAUAAAUGAGUUGCUGCCAAGCUUGGAGAGUCAUAAUGUCCGUCAUCUUUACCCAAACGAGCCCAAUAUUGACUUCAAAAAGGAGCUAAGGACCCUCAACCGAGAGCUUCAACUGCAUAUUUUGGAGCUGGCAGAUAUUUUAGUGGAGAGACCAUCUCAGUAUGCUCGCAGGGUCGAAGAUAUUUCACUCAUAUUCAGGAACUUACAUCAUCUUCUCAAUUCCCUACGGCCUCAUCAGGCAAGAGCCACAUUGAUUCACAUGUCUGAGAGCCAAAUUCAGCGCU